rnacentral:rRNA from 1 species
AUUACCUCAGUAACGGCGAGUGAAGCGGUAACAGCUCAAAUUUGAAAUCUGGCCUCACGGUCCGAGUUGUAAUUUGUAGAGGAUGCUUCGAGCAUGGUCUGGCCUAAGUUCCUUGGAACAGGACGUCAUAGAGGGUGAGAAUCCCGUAUGCGGUCAGGUGCCUACGCUCAUGUGAAGCUCCUUCGACGAGUCGAGUUGUUUGGGAAUGCAGCUCAAAAUGGGUGGUAAAUUUCAUCUAAAGCUAAAUAUUGGCCAGAGACCGAUAGCGCACAAGUAGAGUGAUCGAAAGAUGAAAAGCACUUUGGAAAGAGAGUUAAACAGUACGUGAAAUUGUUGAAAGGGAAGCGCUUGCAACCAGACUUGCGCGCGGCCGAUCAUCCGGUGUUCUCACCGGUGCACUCGGCCGUGCUCAGGCCAGCAUCGGUUUUGGCGGCUGGAUAAAGGCCCCAGGAAUGUGGCUCCUCUCGGGGAGUGUUAUAGCCUGGGGUGCAAUGCAGCCUGCUGGGACCGAGGACCGCGCUUCGGCUAGGAUGCUGGCGUAAUGGUUGUAAGCGGCCCGUCUUGAAACACGGACCAAGGAGUCUAACAUCUAUGCGAGUGUUUGGGUGUCAAACCCAUACGCGUAAUGAAAGUGAACGGAGGUGAGAACCCUUAAGGGUGCAUCAUCGACCGAUCCUGAUGUCUUCGGAAGGAUUUGAGUAAGAGCAUAGCUGUUGGGACCCGAAAGAUGGUGAACUAUGCCUGAAUAGGGUGAAGCCAGAGGAAACUCUGGUGGAGGCUCGCAGCGGUUCUGACGUGCAAAUCGAUCGUCAAAUUUGGGUAUAGGGGCGAAAGACUAAUCGAACCAUCU